rnacentral:rRNA from 1 species
UGGAUGAUGUGGAUUAAUUCGAUGCAACGCGAAAACCUUACCUACCCUUGACAUGCAAGUGGUAGGAAACGUGAAAGGGACCGACCUUCGGGAGCUUGCACAGGUGCUGCAUGGCUGUCGUCAGCUCGUGUCGUGAGAUGUUCGGUUAAGUCCGCUAACGAGCGCAACCCUUCACCUGUGUGUUAUAUGUGUCACACGGGACUGCCGGUUUUAAGCCGGAGGAAGGUGGGAUGACGUCAAGUCAGCAUGGCCUUUAUAUCCUGGGCUACACACACGCUACAAUGGUCGGUACAAUGGGUUGCCAAGCCGCGAGGCGGAGCCAAUCCUAAAAAGCUGGCCUCAGUUCAGAUUGCAGUCUGAAACUCGACUGCAUGAAGUCGGAGUUGCUAGUAAACGCAGGUCAGCUAUACUGCGUUGAAUACGUUCCCGGGGCUU